UGGGAAGGCUGUAGCUCAGUGGUAGAGCAACUGCUUUGAAUGCAGAAGGUCCCAGUUUCAACCCCUGGUGUCUCAA